GGGUUGUGAGGUUAAGCGACUAAGCGUACACGGUGGAUGCCCUGGCAGUCAGAGGCGAUGAAGGACGUGCUAAUCUGCGAUAAGCGUCGGUAAGGUGAUAUGAACCGUUAUAACCGGCGAUUUCCGAAUGGGGAAACCCAGUGUGAUUCGUCACACUAUCAUUAACUGAAUCCAUAGGUUAAUGAGGCGAACCGGGGGAACUGAAACAUCUAAGUACCCCGAGGAAAAGAAAUCAACCGAGAUUCCCCCAGUAGCGGCGAGCGAACGGGGAGGAGCCCAGAGCCUGAAUCAGUGUGUGUGUUAGUGGAAGCGUCUGGAAAGGCGCGCGAUACAGGGUGACAGCCCCGUACACAAAAAUGCACAUACUGUGAGCUCGAUGAGUAGGGCGGGACACGUGGUAUCCUGUCUGAAUAUGGGGGGACCAUCCUCCAAGGCUAAAUACUCCUGACUGACCGAUAGUGAACCAGUACCGUGAGGGAAAGGCGAAAAGAACCCCGGCGAGGGGAGUGAAAAAGAACCUGAAACCGUGUACGUACAAGCAGUGGGAGCCUCUUUAUGGGGUGACUGCGUACCUUUUGUAUAAUGGGUCAGCGACUUAUAUUCUGUAGCAAGGUUAACCGAAUAGGGGAGCCGAAGGGAAACCGAGUCUUAACUGGGCGUUAAGUUGCAGGGUAUAGACCCGAAACCCGGUGAUCUAGCCAUGGGCAGGUUGAAGGUUGGGUAACACUAACUGGAGGACCGAACCGACUAAUGUUGAAAAAUUAGCGGAUGACUUGUGGCUGGGGGUGAAAGGCCAAUCAAACCGGGAGAUAGCUGGUUCUCCCCGAAAGCUAUUUAGGUAGCGCCUCGUGAAUUCAUCUCCGGGGGUAGAGCACUGUUUCGGCAAGGGGGUCAUCCCGACUUACCAACCCGAUGCAAACU
rnacentral:rRNA from 1 species